rnacentral:rRNA from 1 species
UACGUAGGUGGCAAGCGUUGUCCGGAUUUAUUGGGUUUAAAGGGUGCGUAGGCGGUUCUAUAAGUCAGUGGUGAAAUCCGGCAGCUCAACUGUCGAUGUGCCAUUGAUACUGCAGAACUUGAGUACAGACGAGGUAGGCGGAAUUGACGGUGUAGCGGUGAAAUGCUUAGAUAUCGUCAAGAACACCGAUAGUGAAGACAGCUUACUAGGCUUCUACUGACGCUGAGGCACGAAAGUGUGGGGAUCAAACGGG